UGGGGAAUAUUGGACAAUGGGGGCAACCCUGAUCCAGCAAUGCCGCGUGUGUGAAGAAGGCCUGCGGGUUGUAAAGCACUUUCAGUAGAGAAGAAAAGCUUAAGGUUAAUACCCUUAAGUCUUGACGUAACCUACAGAAGAAGCACCGGCUAACUCUGUGCCAGCAGCCGCGGUAAUACAGAGGGUGCGAACGUUGCUCGGAUUUACUGGGCGUAAAGCGCGUGUAGGCGGACAAGCAAGUCGGUUGUGAAAUCCCUGGGCUCAACCUAGGAACUGCAUCCGAAACUGCUUGUCUUGAGUAAUGGAGAGGGUGGCGGAAUUCCCGGUGUAGAGGUGAAAUUCGUAGAUAUCGGGAGGAACAUCAGUGGCGAAGGCGGCCACCUGGACAUUCACUGACGCUGAGACGCGAAAGCGUGGGGAGCAAACAGGAUUAGAUACCCCCGUAGUCC
rnacentral:rRNA from 1 species